UUGCAGUGAUGACUCCUUAGGACACCUUUGGAUUCUCCAUGAAAACAACCUGUUAGACUGAGCGAC
ensembl:snoRNA SNORD58 Small nucleolar RNA SNORD58